rnacentral:rRNA from 1 species
GCACGGUAUGGUUUCGGCCAUGCAGUGGCGGACGGGUGAGUAACGCGUAGGGAUCUGUCCUUGGGUGGGGGAUAACCGUGGGAAACUGCGGCUAAUACCGCAUGACACCUGUGGGUCAAAGGCGAGAGUCGCCUGGGGAGGAGCCUGCGUACGAUUAGCUAGUUGGUGGGGUAAGGGCCUACCAAGGCGACGAUCGUUAGCUGGUCUGAGAGGAUGAUCAGCCACACUGGGACUGAGACACGGCCCAGACUCCUACGGGAGGCAGCAGUGGGGAAUAUUGGACAAUGGGCGCAAGCCUGAUCCAGCAAUGCCGCGUGGAUGAAGAAGGUUUUCGGAUUGUAAAGUCCUUUCGGCGGGGACGAUGAUGACGGUACCCGCAGAAGAAGCCCCGGCUAACUUCGUG